CGGGAGCUCUGCUCAGGCUUCAACAUGGCGGGCCGUUUCGGUUGACUUCGCCUGUGGAAACCGAAUUCCCCCUCCAUGGUUUCCCCAGGAUAUGAGUUGGGGGCCUCACCUCGCCUAUAAGGGUCAGGCGAGCUUUCUGGAUGCUCGAGGGACCUUUCGGCCUGCGCAGCCGGAGCAGCUUGUCCCAAUGCCCUGCCAUUUCUGUGAGGGCCCACGAGGCCUGGAGGAGCCUCGGAGCCCCCGCAGGCCCUCGCGUCACUGCCUCAAGAGGGUGCUCGGAGCCCUGCUCGGGAGCUGGUCCCCAACGAGGUGUGGAACCCCUUCUUGCUGGAACUCCACGGAGAGACUGUCCUGCUAGGACCUGCUUCCAGAAGAGUUGAUCCCAGCCGUGAAAGUGCAUGAUGCCUUCAGCGAAGCAGGCAGGAAAGGCUCAAGUGAUCCUCCUGUAUCACCCUGGAAGCCGAACACUUGAUAAAAAGUUCAUCAGCGUAAAUAAGAAGAAUCCCCUCCAUUACAUACAAAAGAAAAAAUAACUGGAGAGAUCGUCUCUGCUCUAAGGUGAUUAUCCUGUGGUCUUUGGUUUUAGUACAUUCUCCCCGACCCCAUGCCCUUUUCCCUCAUCUUUAAUGAGUAUCUGUAUGUGUGGCAGAACAGCGUGUUUUUAAGUCUCUGCAGUCUUGGACCAAGCUCGUUUUAUUCCCUACUCUAGGAGAAUCUCAGAGC
rnacentral:lncRNA from 10 species